CUGCUCAUUCUUUCUACAGCCCUUUCUCCGAUUCUCCCUCUCUCCAUCUGUUACGGCGACGAUGUCGCCUCCGGCGUGCGGCAGCUGCGCAGCCUCGCACCACAACUCACGCAUAUCUCACCUCUCAUCCUUCGUUGUUCACCUCUUCCAGCCGCCGUGAAGCUCCGUCACCGUCUCAGCAUCAUCUCCGAAACUCACCACCACCUUUCGCCGACGACCAACCAGCCUCACACCUUACUCCUGCUGUCGCCGCGACUCCGUCGGGGUUGCCGACGCGAGUUCC
rnacentral:lncRNA from 1 species